GGUGCCCUGCAAGAACGUGUGGAUCAGGUGAAUAGGGUUGUCAAGGGCCUGAGCCCUGACAGCCACCUUUCUGUAAUUCAUGCACCAAAGUGGGUCUUUAUUACAUAAUUUGCAUAAUGGCCCCCGUGUGCUAGCUGUGGCCCCACUUGCACAGCAGGGGCAGGACAAGCUUGCAAAGAUACCAACUACACUGACCUCCUUUUCUGAUUCCCCAUGGUCUUCAAGGCUGGUGUGGGCAAUUCCGUUUCCUGUGGUGUCAGCAAGGACCCCAACCCUCGAGGGCCUGCCUGGGCUAGGAUGUCUCAGAGGACACACUCACAUGACGGGCAUUGGUGGCAGAUGUGUGGGCUCUGCUAGGAGCUUAGCCCCAGCUGUGGGCCAGGGUGCCAAGCCAGGGCCUCUCCAUGUGCUUUGGUUUUCUCAGUCUGGUCACUGGGUUCUCAGACAGAGCUGCCCAAGAUCGAGCAUUCCAAGAAACCAAGUUAGAAGCUGCCAAGGUUCUCUGGACUCCGGCCUGGAACUGUUGCGAGAUGGACUGGGGAGACCCUGGGCCCUGGGGUCUCAACCCAAUCCGGCCCAAAGAUGUCACCAAAAAGAAUUGUUCUCCUCACCAGAAAGAAUUCAAAGACAGACACAGGGCAGUGGAUGAUGGGUUCAAGCAGGAAAGUUUAUUAGAAGCCGAAGUAUCCUCUCGAGGUGUGAGAGCAGGUCAGCUCAAGGGGGAGAGAGCCGCCCGCCCUGGAGUUUCAGCUCCUAUCUUUCAUUGACGGCUGUUAACCAGGGGGCAGAAUAAUUAUGACUUCAGGCAGAUUUCUUGGAAACAAGAUUACAUGCUUUUUUGCUGGUUACAUGCUUCCGCCCCCCCUUAUUUGUUUGUUUUUUACAUUUUUAAAAUUUAAAUUCAAUUUGCCAACAUAUAGUAUAACACCCAGUGCUCAUCCCAUCAAGUGCCCUCCUCAGUGCCCAUCACCCAAUUACCCCAUCUGCCCACCCACCUCCU
rnacentral:lncRNA from 1 species